rnacentral:rRNA from 1 species
UACGGGGGGGCGAAGCAGUUGUUCGGUAAUUACUGGGCGUAAAGGGCUCGUAGGCGGCCAACUAAGUCAGACGUGAAAUCCCUCGGCUUAACCGGGGAACUGCAUCUGAUACUGGAUGGCUUGAGUUCGGGAGAGGGAUGCGGAAGUUCCAGGUGAGCGGUGAAAUGCGUAGAUAAUCUGGAGGAACACCGGUGGCGAAGGCGGCAUCCUGGACCAAACACUGACACUGAGGAGCGAAAGCCAGGGGAGCAAACGGG